rnacentral:lncRNA from 1 species
AAAUAUCCCAAAAAACUAAAACAGUUGGCUUUCUUUGAAAAUUUUGAAAUAAUCUAAAAUUCCCUUGGGUUGCUUUGGGAAAACUAUUGAAAACUCUGUUUGGUUUUGUUCCUCUGAUCCUCAUAUUUUUGUUCAGAACUACUGAAAUUUCACGAUUUUAUAUGCUGGUUUGAAAAUGGAUUGAAUGUUGAAUAUUUAAAAGUCUGGGUUUGGAAUUUGCUGGGGGAACACUGUUCCAUUGCUGAUUCCAUAGCUGACUCUGCUGUUGUUUCCUUUGGUUGAACCUUCUAUUGUUGGUCUGUGCUAAAUCCUUCCUUCUUUAUUUCCUUUUUCAUUUCCAUGUAAAGCUCUGCAUUUUGGUUAAUUUGUAGAGUAUGGGUGUACAUGUGAACAUUGUCAUAAUAGAAGAUUCAUGCUAUUCAACCUUUAUUUCCCUUGUGAUUUUGUUUUGGUCAUGUGUUGUCUAAGUUUAAUUAUGUGGGAAUCCUAUUAGUUUUCUAUGUAGCAUAAGGUGUAUAUAUUUAAACUUUGUUUGGUUCUGCUGAAGUCUCUGAUUAUUGAACUCUAGGUUAGUUAAUAUGCCAAACUCUGCUUGAUACUUCGUAUGGAGGAUUUGAUUCAAGGCUUGAAGCUCGGCAUGACCAUUUAUAAUCUCAUAUGGAGGGUAAAGGGAGU